GGAAUCUUCCUCAAUGGGCGAAAGCCUGAUGGAGCAACGCCGCGUGUGUGAUGAAGGGUUUCGGCUCGUAAAACACUGUUGUAAGAGAAGAAUGACAUUGAGAGUAACUGUUCAAUGUGUGACGGUAUCUUACCAGAAAGGAACGGCUAAAUACGUGCCAG
rnacentral:rRNA from 1 species